UGGGACGCCCGGACCGGGCAGCAGGCCCCCACCCUGCGGGGGCACACCGGCCCGGUCCGCGGCGUGUGCUUCAGCCCCGACGGCGGCCGCCUGGCCAGCGC
rnacentral:misc_RNA from 1 species